rnacentral:misc_RNA from 1 species
GAUGAAGAACACAGCGAAAUGCGAUAAGUAGUGUGAAUUGCAGAAUUCAGUGAAUCAUCGAAUCUUUGAACGCACAUUGCGCCCCUUGGUAUCCCGAGGGGCAUGCCUGUUCGAGCGUCAUUUCACCACUCAAGCCUGGCUUGGUGUUGGGCGACGUCCUCUUUGGGGACGCGCCUCGAAACGCUCGGCGGCGUGGCACCGGCUUUAAGCGUAGCAGAAUCUUUCGCUUUGGAAGUCGGGGCCCCGUCUGCCGGAAGACCUGCUCGCAAGGUUGACCUCGGAUCAGGCAGGGAUACCCGCUGAACUUAAGCAUAUCAAUAAGCGGAGGA